GAUUUCUGGCUUGAAACAUUUUGCCGGCCACGGUUUCGUGUGUUAGUGCAUUGUGUUCUGGCCAUCCUUCCAAUCGCUACUGACUAUUCUUCAUUGAUUGGUCAGUGGUAUUGGAUCUUUUACUUUGAAAAAAUUAGAGUGUUUCAAGCAGGCUUUAUGCUAUGAAUACAUUAGCAUGGAAUAAUAAUUUAGGACUUCGGUUCUAUUUUGUUGGUUUCUAGGACUGAAGUAAUGAUUGAUAGGGAUAGUUGGGGGUGCUAGUAUUCAGCGGCCAGAGGUGAAAUUCUCGGAUUCGCUGAAGACUAACUUAUGCGAAAGCAUUUGCCAAGGAUGUUUUCAUUAAUCAAGAACGAAAGUUGGGGGCUCGAAGACGAUCAGAUACCGUCCUAGUCUCAACCAUAAACGAUGCCGACCAGGGAUUGGCGGAUGUUGCUUUUAGGACUCCGCCAGCACCUUAUGAGAAAUCAAAGUUUUUGGGUUCUGGGGGGAGUAUGGUCGCAAGGCUGAAACUUAAAGG
rnacentral:rRNA from 1 species